GGUUCCGUGGUGCAGUUGGUUAGCGCAUCGUACUAAUAUUUCAAAAGAAUAUAUGCGAAAGUCGAGGGUUCGAGCCCCUCCGGGACCA
rnacentral:tRNA from 1 species